UGGGGAAUCUUGCACAAUGGGCGAAAGUCUGACGGAGCGACGCCGCGUGGAUGAAGAAUGCCGAAAGGUUGUAAAAUCCUUUUAAGCCUGAGGAAUAAGCACAGUAGGGAAUGAUUGUGUGGUGACUGUAGGGCUUGAAUAAGCACCGGCAAAUUACGUGCCAGCAGCCGCGGUAACACGUAAGGUGCGAGCGUUGUUCGGAAUUAUUGGGCGUAAAGGGCAUGUAGGCGGAUGAGCAAGCUUGGUGUGAAAUGCUACAGCUUAACUGUGGGACAGCAUUGAGAACUGCACAUCUUGAAUUACUGAAGGGUAACUAGAAUUCCACGUGUAGGGGUGAAAUCUGUAGAUAUGUGGAAGAAUACCAAUGGCGAAGGCAAGUUACCGGCAGAUAAUUGACGCUGAGGUGCGAAAGUGCGGGGAGCGAACAGGAUUAGAUACCCUGGUAGUCCGCACAGUAAACGAUGUACACUAGGUGUCUGGCAACAAAGCUGGGUGCCAAAGCAAACGUGGUAAGUGUACCGCCUGAGGAGUAUGCCCGCAAGGGU
rnacentral:rRNA from 1 species